rnacentral:rRNA from 1 species
UACGUAGGGUGCGAGCGUUGUCCGGAAUUAUUGGGCGUAAAGAGCUCGUAGGCGGUCUGUCGCGUCGAUCGUGAAAACUUGGGGCUUAACCCUGAGCUUGCGGUCGAUACGGGCAUGACUGGAGUUCGGCAGGGGAGACUGGAAUUCCUGGUGUAGCGGUGAAAUGCGCAGAUAUCAGGAGGAACACCGGUGGCGAAGGCGGCAUCCUGGACCAUUACUGACACUGAUCCGCGAAAGCUAGGGGAGCAAACGGG